rnacentral:rRNA from 1 species
AGUGAACGCUGGCGGUAGGCCUAACACAUGCAAGUCGAACGGCAGCACAGUAAGAGCUUGCUCUUACGGGUGGCGAGUGGCGGACGGGUGAGGAAUACAUCGGAAUCUACUUUUUCGUGGGGGAUAACGUAGGGAAACUUACGCUAAUACCGCAUACGACCUACGGGUGAAAGCAGGGGAUCUUCGGACCCUGCGCGAUUGGAUGAGCCGAUGUCGGAUUAGCUAGUUGGCGGGGUAAAGGCCCACCAAGGCGACGAUCCGUAGCUGGUCUGAGAGGAUGAUCAGCCACACUGGAACUGAGACACGGUCCAGACUCCUACGGGAGGCAGCAGUGGGGAAUAUUGGACAAUGGGCGCAAGCCUGAUCCAGCCAUACCGCGUGGGUGAAGAAGGCCUUCGGGUUGUAAAGCCCUUUUGUUGGGAAAGAAAAGCAGCAGGUUAAUACCCCGCUGUUCUGACGGUACCCAAAGAAUAAGCACCGGCUAACUUCGUG